rnacentral:rRNA from 1 species
CCUACGGGAGGCAGCAGUGAGGAAUAUUGGUCAAUGGACGCAAGUCUGAACCAGCCAUGCCGCGUGCAGGAAGACGGCUCUAUGAGUUGUAAACUGCUUUUGUACGAGGGUAAACUCAGAUACGCGUACCUUUCUGUAUGUAUCGUACGAAUAAGGAUCGGCUAACUCCGUGCCAGCAGCCGCGGUAAUACGGAGGAUUCAAGCGUUAUCCGGAUUUAUUGGGUUUAAAGGGUGCGUAGGCGGUCGGAUAAGUUAGAGGUGAAAGCCCGCGGCUCAACUUCGGAAUUGCCUCUGAUACUGUGCGGCUAGAGAGUAGUUGCGGUAGGCGGAAUGUAUGGUGUAGCGGUGAAAUGCUUAGAGAUCAUACAGAACACCGAUUGCGAAGGCAGCUUACCAAGCUGCAUCUGACGUUGAGGCACGAAAGCGUGGGGAGCAAACAGGAUUAGAUACCCGGGUAGUC